rfam:Magnaporthe poae ATCC 64411 unplaced genomic scaffold supercont1.168, whole genome shotgun sequence.
CUAUAUGAUGAUUUAAAUUUUAUCACGACGGUCUACAUAGCAUAUGCUUUGAUGAGACUGCCCUUGACAAGGCAAAUAUCUGAUC